UUCUUUUAAAUCACGACAGUUAGUCCUUAGUUCCUUGAGCCUUAUCCUAUUUGGCAAAUAAAUAGACUUGGGUUUAGUAAUGGGAAAACUAGAAAGCUGGCUUCAAGGUCUCAUGCAUCCAAUGGGACCAUUUAAAGAUUCACUUUCUACAUCUAUAAAAUAUGCAGAAGGAGCAGAACAGAAGUCUACAAUUACAGCCUAGGAUUGACCCCCUUCGCCCCCACAAAUAACUGAGUCCCGCGGGGCGGGACAG